CUGCAUCUGGGCCAAGCUGCUACCUGGAUCCACACCAUAGAAGUGCAAAGGGUCAUAAAGGCCAUUGUCCUAAGCUCUAGAUCAUAGAACAGAAGUGAACAACAGAAAGAGGGCCUCUCUGAGGCUCCCUGAAGAAAACUGAAGCCCACUGGAAAAGUGAAGAAAAUCUCUGCAAUAAAGUAACAAUAUGUACUCUUGAGAGAACCACGCCUGCUCCCGACCCAGCCGCCAUCGCUCAAGCACCACGAAGAUUUUCUAGUUCACUUUCAUUUUGUGAAGAAUCACCAACCACAUCAAAGAGCAAAAGAUGAGCAUCUGCAAUGCAUAACAAAAUCAGUCACUGGAGAAACUCAGAGUCCUCUGAACAUCUGCAGAAAAAAAUUACAAGAUCAAAAUCCCUUUGCUGGACACUAUCAGACAUGUAUAAACAUUUAGAUUUCAAGGUGAACAUCUUAUGGAAUACGAAUUUUAAAACAGCCACGGACUCAGAUUUACAAGAACACAACUUACUUUUCUUAUAAUUGUGCUUUGUUAGUUUCCAAGUUUCUAU
rnacentral:lncRNA from 1 species